rnacentral:rRNA from 1 species
UACGUAGGGGGCAAGCGUUGUCCGGAUUUAUUGGGCGUAAAGAGCGUGUAGGCGGCCUGGUAGGUCAGCUGUGAAAACUCGAGGCUCAACCUCGAGACGUCGGCGGAAACCAUCUGGCUAGAGUCCGGAAGAGGAGAGUGGAAUUCCUGGUGUAGCGGUGAAAUGCGCAGAUAUCAGGAGGAACACCGGUGGCGAAGGCGGGUCUCUGGGCCGAUACUGACGCUGAGGAGCGAAAGUGUGGGGAGCGAACAGG